CGUGCUAUAGUGAUUUGUUCCGGCUCAUCAUUGAUCCUUCUACUUCAAUCUCUUGCAGUAUUUGCCCCCCAUACAGGAGUGGAAUUCAACCCUUGCAUUUGGAUGGUUCAUCACUUCUUGGUGACUGGAGACCCAGCUCUAACAACAGCUGAAGAUGGCUACUCGAGAGCAAUACUAGGUAAGCAAUUAGGCAAAGGUUUCAGGUAGUCGGUUCCUUACCCGAAGUUUUGAGUGGAAGUUCCGACAUAUUGCUUUCUUUAUCCUUGUCUUUACAGGUAAGAACAAGAACAAAGAAAAGGACAGGGAGAUUGCAUGAUAUGAGAUACUCUUGCUUUCUACCCUGAUGGUAUGAGAUACUUUUGCUUUGGUGUCAUUCUUUUGCAGAGGUAUUCUGAUGCGUAAAUAUAUAAGCACACAAAUUAAACCCUCUUUUUGUUAAUUGUAGUAAAGUAUGUAAGUAGGGAUCGUUCUGGACCGGGGAUUAUGAGGGAUUGCUAAACACUUGAAAACUGACUUAGAAACGUAAAAACAAAGUUUAAAACACUAGAUUAGACUCAA
rnacentral:lncRNA from 1 species